rnacentral:misc_RNA from 1 species
GAAAUGCGAUAAGUAAUGUGAAUUGCAGAAUUCAGUGAAUCAUCGAAUCUUUGAACGCACAUUGCGCCCGUCAGCAUUCUGGCGGGCAUGCCUGUUCGAGCGUCAUUUCAACCCUCAGGACCCCCCUUUCGCGGGGAGGGACCUGGCGUUGGGGAUCGGCCCGCCCCCCGCGGCGGCGCCGUCCCCGAAAUCUAGUGGCGGUCUCGCUACAGCCUCCCCUGCGUAGUAGUUACAACCUCGCAUCGGAGCGCGGCGCGGCCACGCCGUAAAACCCCCGACUUUCUGAACGUUGACCUCGGAUCAGGUAGGAAUACCCGCUGAACUUAAGC